UAGGGAAUCUUCCGCAAUGGGCGAAAGCCUGACGGAGCAACGCCGCGUGAGUGAUGAAGGUCUUCGGAUCGUAAAACUCUGUUAUUAGGGAAGAACAAAUGUGUAAGUAACUAUGCACGUCUUGACGGUACCUAAUCAGAAAGCCACGGCUAACUACGUGCCAGCAGCCGCGGUAAUACGUAGGUGGCAAGCGUUCUCCGGAAUUAUUGGGCGUAAAGCGCGCGUAGGCGGUUUUUUAAGUCUGAUGUGAAAGCCCACGGCUCAACCGUGGAGGGUCAUUGGAAACUGGAAAACUUGAGUGCAGAAGAGGAAAGUGGAAUGCCAUGUGUAGCGGUGAAAUGCGCAGAGAUAUGGAGGAACACCAGUGGCGAAGGCGACUUUCUGGUCUGUAACUGACGCUGAUGUGCGAAAGCGUGGGGAUCAAACAGG
rnacentral:rRNA from 1 species